GCGCAAGGGGAAUGCCUUGGCAUCAGGAGCCGAAGAAGGACGUGACAAGCUGCGAAAAGCCUCGGGGAGGAGCAAAUAUCCAUUGAUCCGGGGAUAUCCGAAUGGGGCAACCCGGCUGGACAAUAUCCAGUCAUCCUGCGUUGAACAAAAUAGGCGUAGGAAGGGAACCGCCUGAACUGAAACAUCUAAGUAGGGCGAGGAAGAGACAUCAACCGAGAUUCCGCAAGUAGUGGCGAGCGAACGCGGAAGAGGCCAAACCGAGGGAUUUAUUCCUCGGGGUUAGGACUUGCAUCACGAUCAGAAGAAUCUAACAGAACGGCAUGGGAAGGCCGGCCACAGAGGGUGAGAGCCCCGUACGUGAAAGAGGAAGCUGACAGCGAGUAUCCAGAGUACCGCGGGACACGUGAAACCCCGCGGGAAAACGGGUGGACCACCAUCCAAGCCUAAAUACUACCUGAUGACCGAUAGAGGAGCAGUACCGUGAGGGAAAGGUGAAAAGGACCCCGGGAGGGGAGUGAAAGAGAACCUGAAACCUUGUGCUUACAAGCAGUCAAAGCACGUUAAAGUGUGAUGACGUACUUUUUGUAGAACGGUCCGGCGAGUUAUAGUAACGAGCAAGCUUAAGGUAUUCAGUACCGGAGGCGAAGCGAGAGCGAGUCUGAAUAGGGCGCAUAAAGUUCGUUGCCAUAGACCCGAAACCGGGUGACCUAACCAUGAGCAGGCUGAAGUGAGAGUAAAAUCUCAUGGAGGGCCGAACGCACGUUCGUUGCAAUGACCGGCGAUGACUUGUGGUUAGCGGAGAAAUUCCAAUCGAACUCGGAGAUAGCUGGUUCUCCCCGAAAUAGCUUUAGGGCUAGCGUUAUCUUAGAUUACCGGAGGUAAAGCACUGAAUGGGCUAGGGGGCGAUAAGCUUACUGAACCCUAUCAAACUCUGAAUGCCGGAUAAUUGAUGCAUAGCAGUCAGACAGUGUGAGAUAAGUUUCAUUGUCAAAAGGGAAACAGCCCAGACCUACAGCUAAGGUCCCAAAUGUAUGCUAAGUGGAAAACGAUGUGGAAUUGCGAAAACAACCAGGAUGUUGGCUCAGAAGCAGCCACACAUUAAAAGAGUGCGUAAUAGCUCACUGGUCGAGUGACUCUGCGCGGAAAAUGUAACGGGGCUAAGCAUCUAACCGAAGCUUAGGAUUGUCGUAAGACAGUGGUAGGGGAGCGUUCCAUGUGGGGUGAAGUCGUAGCGGAAGCAGCGGUGGACUGCAUGGAAGUGAGAAUGCCGGAAUGAGUAGCGAGAAUUAUGUGGGAAUCAUAAUGGCCGAAAAUCUAAGGUUUCUUGGGGAAGGUUCGUCCGCCCAAGGUAAGCCGGGAGCUAAGGCGAGGCCGAGAGGCGUAGUCGAUGCACAUACGGUAAAGAUUCCGUAGCCACCGAAGUCGUUAAAUACAGGGACACAGGAACAUAGCCUAACCCCACCGUUGGUUGAGUGGGGCGUAAGGGAGCGAAAAUUAGUAGCGAAGUAGGUGAUUGUACACUGGCGAGAAAAGCUGUAUGAAUUGACAAGGUGCCCGUACCGCAAACCGACACAGGUAGAUGAGGAGAGAAUCCUAAGACCAGCGGGAGAAGUGUUGUUAAGGAACUCGGCAAAAUGACCCCGUAACUUCGGGAUAAGGGGAGCCUACGCGAGUAGGCCGCAGAGAAUAGUCUCAAGCGACUGUUUAGCAAAAACACAGGUCUAUGCUAAAUCGAAAGAUGAUGUAUAUGGGCUGACGCCUGCCCGGUGCUGGAAGGUUAAGGGGAAGUGUUAGAGCAAUCGAAGCACUGAACUUAAGCCCCAGUAAACGGCGGCCGUAACUAUAACGGUCCUAAGGUAGCGAAAUUCCUUGUCAGGUAAG
rnacentral:rRNA from 1 species